GUUGGCGAGUGUGAAGAGAGAGGAGGAGCGUUUGCGGCCUCAGCGUCUGUCAACAGAACCCUCUUCACCCGUGGUUAAACCCUCCCUAACCCUGAGCUCGUGCUCCCCUCCCGGUGGACGCAGACCUGACCACAGAAGCCCUGCAGCACUCACUGGGGGCUUGAGGGAGCCCCUGAGUCCCCUCCACCCUCGCCGCCUUCUCCUGGGUACCCAGGAAACGUCUCCAAGGGAGGCUGUGACCCAGGACCCCGCCUCGACCUCACCUUCUUCUGUAAGGCGCAGUGAAAGACGAAGAUGAAGACCCCCUGGAAGGCGUUGAAGGUGGUGAAGAGAUAGGCCAUGACCACCGACUCCUUGUUGAUGAAGAGGAGGCCGAAAGCCCAGCCAUGUACGGCGUGCCUGCUUCCCCUUCACCUUCUGCUGUGAUUGUAAGUUUCCUGAGGCCUCCCCAGAAGCAGAAGCUACUAUGCUUCCUGUACAGCCUGCAGAACUAUGAGCCAAUUAAAUGUCUUUUCUUUAUAAACU
rnacentral:lncRNA from 1 species